AUUGAACGCUGGCGGCAUGCUUUACACAUGCAAGUCGGACGGCAGCAUAAAAGAGCUUGCUCUUUUGAUGGCGAGUGGCGAACGGGUGAGUAAUGCAUCGGAACGUACCGAGUAGUGGGGGAUAACUGUCCGAAAGGAUGGCUAAUACCGCAUAUUCUCUGAGGAGGAAAGCAGGGGACCUUAGGGCCUUGCGCUAUUUGAGCGGCCGAUGUCUGAUUAGCUAGUUGGUGGGGUAAGAGCCCACCAAGGCGACGAUCAGUAGCGGGUCUGAGAGGAUGAUCCGCCACACUGGGACUGAGACACGGCCCAGACUCCUACGGGAGGCAGCAGUGGGGAAUUUUGGACAAUGGGCGCAAGCCUGAUCCAGUCAUGCCGCGUGUAUGAAGAAGGCCUUCGGGUUGUAAAGUACUUUUGUCAGGGAAGAAAAGCCUGAGGAUAACACCCUCAGGUCAUGACGGUACCUGAAGAAUAAGCACCGGCUAACUACGUGCCAGCAGCCGCGGUAAUACGUAGGGUGUGAGCGUUAAUCGGAAUUACUGGGCGUAAAGCGAGCGCAGACGGUUAUUUAAGCAAGAUGUGAAAGCCCCGGGCUCAACCUGGGAACUGCGUUUUGAACUGGGUAACUAGAGUGUGUCAGAGGGGGGUAGAAUUCCACGUGUAGCAGUGAAAUGCGUAGAGAUGUGGAGGAAUACCGAUGGCGAAGGCAGCCCCCUGGGAUAACACUGACGUUCAUGCUCGAAAGCGUGGGUAGCAAACAGG
rnacentral:rRNA from 1 species